rnacentral:lncRNA from 1 species
UUUCUUUUUCUUCUAGAGAGAGAGAGAGUGGGAGAGGAAUGAGAAGGAAGGAGAAGAAGAGCUUGUAGAGGACUUGGAGCUUCAUCUCCACCCUUUCUUCUCCCUUUUGGUGGAUUAGAGCUUGCUUUUGGAGCUUAGUGGUGGACCAAACUUCAACCCUAGGGCAUUUUGAGCUUGGAUUGAAGCUUCCAAAGGGUUAGUAACAUGUUUCUUCUUAUAGAUUCUUGUUUUUGUGAUUUUUGGGAGAUGAAACUAUAGAAAUGAGAUUUAGGGUUGAUUUUGGGGCUUUUGGAUCUAGGGCUUUUGAGGCUAGAUUUUUUGGAUUAGAACCCUCCUUUGGGUUAGAUUGGAAGGAUCCUAGCCUUCUUUUGGAGCUUGAGUGAGAAUUUCUACUCCCUAGGUGAGUUUUUGCCCUAUUCUUUUGAUUAUUAUUGUUCGAGCCUAGAGUUGCUCGUAAUGCUUGUGUAUCUCUUCGCUGAUCACUUUUAGGGUAUCUUGAGGCUUGUGGACAACUCCGUUCGGCGAAUCGAAGGAGCACGCGACGGUUCGGUGGGUUUGACCUAGCCUAUGAUAUGAGAAAUGCUCAUAUUUGGCAAAAUAUGUUUCGUAAAGUAGAAAUUCAUGCAUUUCCAUGUUAAAUGUAUUUAUUAUGAAUUUGAGAAUGCUUAACAUGCAUAUAUUAUGUAUAGUAAAAUUUUAGACCUCUAUGUGGUAGAGUGCAUGCAUGUGAGACUUAGCAUUCUAGUUAUGAUUGGGAACCAUGAUUCCUAUUAUGGAAAUGAAUCUUGCUUUCAUGCAUUUAACCUAUAUGCCAAUUGUGAGAUUAGGAAUUUUAGAAGCCUAGAGAGGGCUUGAGAACUUGGACUAUUAGAGAAUUGAGAUAAUGUCAUAAAGAGGCAUUGCGGGUCAUGGUAAUCAUUUGUCACGCCCCACCCCGAAACCACUACCAAUUUGGCACGAUUCGGCCGCGGCGAUGGACCGCCGAACGGACAGCACCUCCCCUGCCCGCCCAAGGCUCAACCACAGGAAUGUGUACAAGAAUUUACCCAGGGCUUUAAAUUCUAAACAUACACAUCCAACGAGGGUACAAACAGUGCCGACAACAAGAAGAGCAGGUAAUCCACAAGAUAUACGAGUGAAAUGAAGAGAGUACUUUACUAACUAUUACAAUAGUUGCAUUCAUUACAUCAUUUUUCAUCCAAAAUACAUAGCCCUCCAAACCUCACUUACAAUAAAUCUCUCUCUAUACAUAGGUGACUAAUGCAAAAAGGAAAGCUACUAUACUACCACGGUCUCACUAGUCGGGCGCGACGCCCUUGCCGCGGUCCUCCCUCCGCAGCCCUGAACCUACCACUGGAAAUAGAGUGGGGUGAGAACUAUCUUCCAUAGUUCCCAGUGGGCUCGGCCGCCGACUCUGCCGAUCUCCCCACUAGGUCCAAGUGGGCACAAGUAACAACAGAUAGAUAGAUAGAUAUGUAUCUGAAAGCUGUAAAUGCAGUAGUAGGAAAACUAUGCUACUAUGCCCAUAAUCAUAAAUAUGAAUGCAUGCAUCAUAUAAUAAAGGUUUGCUAUCAUGCUAACAAAUUCGAUCUAUGUUCGAAUAACAAUGUUCAAUGACAUCAAUAACCUUUCCAUUUACCCAAUCUGUGGUGAGGCCCUAGGGCUCGCCCAUGACUCACCUUUCAAUCCCAAAGUGGGGAGGGGGCUCCAAGUGCACCCAAGCUGGGGACCGUCUGCGGACCUCCAUGUGGUCCGGACCUCCAAGUGGUCCUAGUCGCACGACACUCCGGAGUACUCGACGACAAUCCCCUCCAUGUGGGGAUUGGAUGGCUAUACCACCCUAAACGCAGACUGUGAGCUAGAUCUAUCCUCUCCAAGUGAGGAUACACGGUAACUAGGGUCAACACCCAAUCCAAUCCUCUCCAAGUGAGGAGGCUCUACAACUAGAGUCAAUAACCCAAUCGAAUCCUCUCCAAGUGAGGAUGCCCUACAACUAGGGUCAAUAUCUCUCGCGGGAUCUUAUUCCCGACAUUCAUGCAACACUAUGUAGGUUGUCUAAAUUCAUUAUUCACAAGGCAUUUUCUAAGGGAUCCACCUAUCCCUAGGUCCAUCGACCUCUAGUGUUAUUUACACUACAUUAAUGCCACUCGUUAUCAUUCAAUAUUUGGAUGCCACUCGUUUGUUCUUUAACAAUAACACUACUUUCUAUGUCAUCAAUACCCCCAUCGGGAUCAUCUCUUUUCUUUCGCACCAUAGGAUUCACGUCUCGACCCAAUCCUCACCUAUCUAAGUUACCAAGCGUUCCAAGUACACUAGGUUAUCAAUUAGAAAGCAUAAGGAAUGAAGCUACUAUGCAAUCCUACAAUGCAACAUGAAGAGAUGAGAUUAAAUGCAAUCUAAGACAUAAAAAGGAGUUCGAAAGUUUCGGAUGACACCCCCCACCUUUUAUCGAUGUAGAGGCUUUGGUAAUUCUUCUCGGCAAGCUUCACGAAGAGGCUUUAGCCUUCCUCGCCUAAAUCCAAACUAUCCAGGCCCGAUUUUGCCGAGGACUUCACGUCGGUUCGCCGAAUGCCGAAAUCGACUUCGCCCCCGUGUUUUGGGACCUAUCAAUAGGGUUUCCAAGGCUUCAAAUGAGAUCAAUCUGUUAUCUAUACAGUAGCAGGUUUGUUAUUGCUUCUUAUUUAUCUGUUGUAGCUACUGUAGUUCGUUUUCAUAUAUCAGUAUCUAUGUUUGUUUAUCUAUCUCCUUUGGUUUCCGGUGAUUACGGCUUACCUUCGUGGCUCUGUCGUACCACUGAGAAAAUCAUGGUUGCGGUUUCUCACCCCCCCAUUUCCCCCCGAGGUGAUAUAGACAAGGAGUUGGAUUUUGGGCUCGACGAGAGAACGAUCUAGCUAGUCUGGUAUAGCGAUCGCCACCCUGGUUGUAUUUCUUCCCCCGCUUUAGUAGUCAUUUAAAUAAUGGUUCAGUUAGCUGAUUUUUAUGAUUGUUUGAAUGUUGGUGAUCUAGUUUUGGUAGAUCUGUGGAUGUUUUCGUUAUUUAUGCAUGUGAACUGAGGUUUGUGAAUUUGAUGUUGAUUUUAUGGAUAUCGGAUUUUUUUGUAUUUACAUAUCGUGGUUUUCUACCCCUCGAGAUAGCUGGUUUUCAAAACAGAGUUUUCUUGUGGGAAACAUUUUAAAAAGGUUUCGAAUGAAUUUCAUGAUGAAUGAAUUAGAGUUUAAAAACAAAAACUUCCGUGUGGGAGCACUUUUAAAUAGGAUGAUUGUUGUACUGUGCAUCGCAUCAUCCAGCGCCUAAGGAGUGCUUAGAGGCAUGCAUCAUUUCUAAGGAUUGUUAGCUGGAUGAAAAUGCAUAUCAUGAAUUGGUUGUUGAUUGGUAAAUGUAGGUUGUGGUUGUGAUCCUGUUGUAUCCAUUGGUACGCCGUGCAAAUACAAAAGAGACUCUGCCCGAGUGGACAGAGGAACUUUGUAUUUGUGGCGGGUCUUGAUACGUCACGUGGGCCAGGUUGAAAAAAAAAAAAAAAAAUUUUGUACAUCUUCCGCGACUCUGAGUUUUAAAAUGGUAAUGGCUUUUAAAUCGGCCCGGGGCGUGACAGGGCAUUUUUCGCCCAGAGGGACGGUCUCUCCCCAGCAGGGACGGUCUCUCGCUGCAAACCCGAAAACCAAUGUUCGGGAACCGGUCUCUCCCUGCGCGGGACCGGUCUCUCACUGCGUAGGCGCGCUCGGGACCGUCUCGCCCGCCAGGGACCGCGUUGCCUCAGGGCUGCCGCAACACUGCUCACUGGGGCGGUCUCUCCUUUCAGGGACGGUCCCCGAGAGUAAAAAACUCUCAGGACUUGUCCAGAAUUCUGGUUUCGAACAUUUAGGUCGGAAAGCAUUCUACAACCUUCCACCAAAUGUGGAAAAGCUCGAAAUACAUCCAAACACUCGAACCUCGCAAAUUGCAAAGGUCCAGUGCGCUACACAUCAACAUCAAUAUAUAUCAUACACCAUUCAGCACAGGUUCACAUCAUGAUUUGAACAUAAAAAUCACAACUAUUAGUUAAAACGUUUCCAACUCAGAAGUGGGUUUUGAAAUACUAGUUAUGAAAACUACGAAAAAAACUUUUGAAAGCUGUUUCCCACACGAAAAUCUUUUCUUUUAAAAUGCGCUACCACGAGGGGUAGAAAACCAUUUUUUUUUUCACAAACUCCACAAAUCCCUUAUCAUUCAUGAAAACCCACAUUUUCAGAUGUAAUAAAAAUAUUGAAGCAUAUAAACUAUCUAAGCUAUGUCAAUAGAAUGGUAAGGGUAGAAACUAAACCGAAUAACCUUGGUCGGAAGCUUAUCGACCGCUAACUACGUAUCUGACGUCUCGUCUCAACUCUCACCGUCAACAAUACCUGAAAAAUGGUGGGGGAGGUGAGAACAUGUAAACAUGUCUCCCCUCCCAGUCGGUACCGCAAGCCGAAGAAGGCGAGAAGUACUCACCGGAUCACGAAGAGCUAAACAACAGUACGGGUCAGUGAAAUACAGUAGCAAUAAUAAUGAACAAAGAGAUAUAUAUAUAAUAAUAUAUAUAUUAAAUGAAAGUACAACUACCGCUACUGAAAUGAACAACUGAAUGUAAACAUGUAACAAACUAUAGUACAAGACAAUGUAACGAAAGAACUGAAGGUAUACAAGCAACAACCGCUACUACAGCUAUAUGCAUCAACCGGACAAGAAGUCCAAAUAUACCCAAUCUGAUGCCUGCAUAUUGGUCCGCAGACCUCAAGCGCUGCCUGUCACUGAACUGCACCGACUAAUUGACCCGCCCCACAGGACACCCAUCUGGAUAAGCACAUCCGGUCCGGUGGCCAAACCGACCCGUGUGUGAAUACCCCCAAGUGCUGUGACUAAGUCAUGCUAGUAUGCUCAAUGUAAAAACCGGCUGAAGCCGGUGCCUAGGCCGAAGCCAGAAACAAGGGGCUACAACGCCGAACCACGAUCAACCAGAUCGAAACACAUGACAGAGAGUCGAUGUGUUGCCUGGACCCAAGGUCCAUAGAGUCCAACUGACUAAUAAGGUCACUGAUACGAAGUACGAGAACCGACCAACCAGGUCAACAGAUACGGAAUGCAAACAACCAACAACUAGGUCAACAGAUACGGAAUGCAACAACCAACCAACUAGGUCAACAAAUACGGAAUGCAAACAACCAACCGACUAGGUCAACAGAUGCUGAAUGCAACAACCGACCAACCAGUCAACAGAUACGCAUGUAGAUAGAACUACUUACUCCUACUCAGGAUACUAAGCAUGCAAACAACGAGUAGAGUAUAACGAAUAACAAGGGUGCAAGGCUCAAUAUACUAUACAACAGUAACAACAGAAGAGUAAGGGUAAGAAACCAUCACCAAGCGUGCACCACUGUACCGACGUCGGAUCAAAAGUACCCACCUGUAAGGUGUCACGUCUGUCUCCUAUAAAGACCCAGCCCACUAGCAACAAUAACUCGUUGGGCCAACAACCAGCCAAAAUGCUUAAGCCGCAGUUAUUAUUACUAGUGUUCAAGUCUCAGAUAAACCCAAUGACACCCCUUUCCCAUCUGAUGUGGGACUUUGGGGUGUCACAGACUCCCCGGUUAAGGCCCUGACGUCCUCGUCAGUCCAAUCACACACAGCCCAAGAUCACCAGGCGAUGUGAGACUCGUCUCGCUAGCCCAUCAUGAAGACCCUGGCUUAGCCGAGACUCGCCACACAUGUCCAGCUGGUGAAACCGCUUUGAUACCAAAUAUAACGACCCUACCACUAGCAAUAAUAACCGUUGGGCCCAACCACAGCCCAAAAAUGCUUAAGCCCAGUUAUUAUUACUAGUGUCUCUAAGUCUCAUAUAAACCCAAUGACAACCCCUUUCCUAUCUGAUGUCGGACUUUGGGUGUCACAUGCCAGACCGGGCUGAUGCAAUAUUGGAUUUUUGAGGAGCUCCGCAGGAUUUUGUUACAAGAGAAGGCUUAUAUGGCCACUUCUCCUUCUCCCCUUCCUCACUUCACCAUUUCUUUUCUUCUAGAGAGAGAGAGAUGGGAGAGGAAUGAGAAGGAAGGAGAAGAAGAGCUUGUAGAGGACUUGGAGCUUCAUCUCCACCCUUUCUUCUCCCUUUUGGUGGAUUAGAGCUUGCUUUUGGAGCUUAGUGGCAAAGAAUGCCUCAAAGUACUAAAUAGAAACUGUACCCAAUCUGUGCCUGCUGUAUUGGUUCGCAGACCUCAAGCGCUGCCUGUCACUAACUGCACCGACCUGAUCCAUCCGCCCUGCAGGACGACCUAUCCGGAUAAGUACACCUCCGAUCGUUGGCCAAACCGAUCCGGUGUCAUGAAUACCCCCAAGUGCUGUCACUAAGUCAAUACUGGUAUGCUCAAACAAGAACCCGGCUAAAGCCGGUGCCUAGGCCGAAGCCAGCAAGGGAGUACAACGCCAAACUGUAAUAGAUGCUAGGGCGUACAACGCCGAACCUCGAUCAACCAGAUCGAAACACAUGACAAGAAAGUCGAUGUGCUGCCUGGACCCAAGGUCCACAAAGAUACUGAAAUACAAAUGCAUCCUGCUCUACAUGUCUAUCAACUACUAACCAAAUGGAAUCAAAGAGGUACGAUAUACGAAAGAUAAGCAAACAAAGACAUGUAGAGACUAAAAUACUGGAAUAGAAAAACAGGAGAAGGAGGUGAAACGCUCUCACCGACUACCAGCUCGAAGCACCCACCUGUCACUGUCGCGUCGGAACGCUGGGUACGCACAGAGUCUACCGGACCUAAGAAGAUCCAGCAAGUCAGAAUCUAAACCACUAACCCAAAGCACGAGACUCACAAACCCCCACACAGGAUCCCCGUAAUCGGUUUCCCAAAACCGAUUACCGUAACUCACCGGAAGUCCCGAAAACCACACCGGGACGUCGUCGGGACCCACUAAUUGUCCCAAACUCACCGACUCGUGCCACGAGUCACCCGCUGCCCCAAAGCACUCCAAUUUGGAUGCCUUGGCAGCGAACACGAGGUAGCACAACCAUACGAUCAUCGCCGGAUAAUCGUACGAAUCCAGGUUCCCGGAAGUGUCUAUUUCAACAUCGGAACCCACCGUCGCUCACCCAUCAUCAUCGAACCCACAAAAUGAUGAUGGUGACCAGCCAACAAGGCUCAGGGACAAAACACGAAGCAACCAAACACCGUCGGAAAAAAUUCGAACCGAAACCGCGUUCUUUCGGCGAAUUUCGCCGAAAAACGCACCGAAAUCGACCUACCGAUUUCCGCAAAAGCUAACGGACCAUGGACAAUCAGUCCAGCGGUCAUACAAACUCUCACACACUGCCCACAGUAGCCACGCAAAGCACAACUGCAUAAAAGACCCUCUAAUUACAUAAAAUCUCAUCAUUUUAUGUAAUUUGAGCGAUCAAGCGGCUCGUUCACGCAAACCGAGGACUUUCGAAGUCCGCAGAGACACGUAUUGACAGGUCUCGACGUACCGGAGUCCGUGCUCACGAUCCGGAGCACAGCGGCUCGCUGUGGGAAGCGCGGGAGCAACCCGAAGGUUCAGCGAAUAGCGCACGGUCAGGAAAGAUCGCGCCGAUCAGAACUAACCGGACACUUCUGAUCCAAGGGAAGGUGAGCAUUGUGAUCAGCACUGACCAGCGGUCACCGUGCUCACCUCCGGAGGCAUCGGAACAGCCUCGGAUCGCCGAAAAACAAGCACAAACCCGAAACAGCAGCCAAAAAGGCUGAAACGGAGCGACAUCGCCAAAACAGCGGAACGGGGCCUUCCCGACAGAAACCAAGGUGAGCACGAUGAUCAGCAACUUACCAGGAUCAUCGUGCUCCCUUCCGUAAAGGUCGGGGAGGCUCGAAAAGCCCAGAACAACAAACACCCCAAACAAAGUCCUAUUUCGGGCUUGGCCGGAGCAACCUUGCUCCGGCCGGCUUCCGGCGGCACGGCGGCGAGCGUGGGGGCCAGGGGCGGGUGCGGGAGAGGUGAGGAACACCGUGCUCAUCUCGGUUGGCGACGAGAAGCGGCGGCGGCGUCGGCGGAGCAACCCGAGCCCGCAAGAGAGAAGCUCGGGCUCGGCGGGUUUCUCCGGCCACGGCGGCGGCCGGGGAAGGUCGGGGACGUCGGCGGCGGGUCCCCAGAGGCCAGAGGAGGAGGAAGGAGGCAGCCUCNUGUAUUUUAACCUAAAAGGGACCCCGGGGCGUGACACCUAUCUAGUAGUGAUAGUCAUUUCCCGGUUCAAUGUCAUUGUUUCCAACAUAUUCUGGGACCUACAUAGUGUAGUCCAGCUUGUGCCACCUAAGUGUCGGUGGUAGCUCCAGCAUUCCCACUCUAGGAAUGAGUCUAUCCUUCCCGACCUCGUAGGUUUCUCGAUACUGCACGAGCGAACAUAAGUCGCGUAGGCCAACUCCGGAGUUCCGGCUUGUAGGGAGCGACCCUCAUAAGCAUGUGCGAAUGAGCACAAAUGGCAAGCAAGCAUAGUCAACGUCUCAAAUACCCAAUCAUCAUGUCUCUAAUAUAGUAAAAGUCACUAGCAUCUCAAAGAUCUAGUUCGAUGUCUCAAAGUGAUGUUCCAACACUCACAAUGCUUAGUGCCUCUUUAUGGCACUUAAACUUGUUAUAAAUUAACACAUUUCAUAAUCUAUAUUCCAUUCAUGACAUUAGUACUAGGUUCUCAUUUAACCCGAGCUCAAUGCCCCUUUAUGACAUUAGCCCAAUUAUUCGCAAGUAGUACAAGUCUCCGAACCUCUUUAUGGCUUACUAAGAUCCUUUAAGUCUCAAGUAGGAAUAGCUUUAAGUGCAUGCAAGUAAUGCUCAUUUUCACAAUAGGAAUUAUGAUUCCAAGUCUCAAUAGGAUGCCAAUCAUGUACAAGUUCCACAUGCUAGUUCUCUACUACAUAGAGGUUCGAAAAUUAUCACACAUAACAUAAGCAUGUUAAGCAUCCUAAAAUUCACAAUAAUUACAUUUAUCAUGGAAAUGCAUGAAUUUUUACUCUACGAAGCAUAAAACAUAGGAUAUGAGAAUUUCUCAUAUGCUAGGCUAGGUCAAACGAACCGAACCGUCUCGAAACCCUUCGUUUCGCCGAACGGAGUUGUCCACAAGUCUCUAAGUACCCUAAAGGUAAGGAGCGAAGAAAUAAACAAACGUUACGAGCAACUCUAGGCUCAAACAUUAACCACCACAAGCAAAGGGGCAAAAACUCACCUAGGGAGUAGAAAAUCUCUCUCAAGCUCCAAAAGAAAGCUAGGACCCUUCCAAUGGAACCUAGAGGAAGGUUCUAAUCCAAGAAAUUGAGCUCCAAAAGCCCUAAAAUCAAAAUGCCCAAGAUCAACCCUAAAACCUCAUUCUAGGGUUUCAUCUCCUAAAAACCAACAAAAUAUGGUCUAGAGGGAAGAAAUGAACAACUAACCUCCUUAGAAGCUCCAAUCCAAGCUCCAAGGGUGAAGAUCUCCUCUCUUGCAAGCUCCAAGACCAAGCCUCCAAGCACCAACAAGGUGAGAAGAGAAGGAGAGGAAAAUGCUCCAAGUCCUCAAGCUAGAUCCUCCUCCUCUUCUUCUCCUUCUUCUUCUUCUCUUCCUUCUUCUCCUUCUUCUCUCUAGGGUGUUGGGAGAAUGAGAGAAAGAGAUAUGAGAAAAGGGAGAGGGUGAAAUGGCCAUAUAGGCCAUCAAAUGCAACAAAAUCCACAGAGGCCCCUCAAUUUCCCAAUAUUGCAACAGCCCGGACUGGGCAGUUUUCGGACUGAGGGACCGGUCUCCUCGACAUGGGACCGGUCUCUCAGCCUGCCCCGAAAAUCCAACGUUCGGGAACCGGUCUCUCCCCGCACGGGACCAGUCUCUCCCCGCGUGGACGCGCUCGGGGACCAGUCUCACCCGCCAGGGAUCGGUUGCCUCAAGGCUGCCGCAAUACUGUUCCGGGGGGGACCGGUCUCUCCCAGCCAGGGACCGGUCCCCGAGAGUAAAAACUCUCAGGACUUGUCCAGAACUUAGGUUUUCGAACUUUUUAGGUUGGAAAAUAUUCUACGACCCUCCACCAAGUGUGGAAAAGCUCGAAACACAUCCAAUCACUCGAAUCUCGCAAUUUGCACAGGUCCAGUAUGCUACAGGAGUCAAAUUGGACAAGAGAAUAGCAAACAUGGGUAAAGGCAUAUAUACAUUCAAAGUUCAAGGGCAAGUUCAUCACUUCGUACCAAAUUUAUGUCCCAACGAUGCUCAUGCAAGAUUUUUGCAACUAUAUUUUUAUGAUACUGAGCACGAAGUUAUUAAUCAUAUGCAUCAAAUGCCUCAGUUGAACAAAUCAAUAAUUGAGAAGUUGAUUGGAAUUCUUAGUAUCAAUCCAUACUCAAUGUUUUUACGGAGCUUGAGAAGUAUACCAUCUCUAGAAGUCUAUACUAUAUCUAUACGAAAGGAUUGUGGAUUAGAUCAGCGCAUAUACAAUGCACCAUCAACUUCUCAAGUUGCUACUAUUUGGGUCGAAGGAAAUAAUAUUGAAGGACAAUACUCGAGAGAUGUUGUUGUGCAUGGACAUUCAAAUAACCCUUAUAAAGUCGAGCCAUACUUUGGCUAUUAUGAUCCGUUAUAAUAUCCUCUAUUAUUUCCGCUAGGCCAAAUAGGAUGGCAUAAGAAUAUACCAAGACGCAAAGGGAAGAUGAAACACCGUGACGAUAAUUCAACUUCAACAAUCAUUCCCAGAACUAAUGAUCACAAUUUCGAAGAUGUCUUAAUUAGAGAAAAAGGUAAUAAAAUUAAAUAUAAUAGAAAAUAUUUUUUAAAUUUAGUCAAUUUAUAAAUAAAAUAUUAAAUUUUUGUUACAAUACUUCUCUUUUUUUAUUUGUAGCUGUGGCUAAUCGGAAAGAGAAAGAUGUAUCAUGUCGAGAAUAUUACUGUUACAUGCUAUAAGUGCGUAAUGAUCCAGAAACAUCAAUUCUUUAUACUGGUCGACUUCUACAAUAAUAUGUUGUUGAUAUGUAUAUCAAAAUUGAGACUACACGUUUAGAUUAUUUUUAUGCAAAUCAAGAGAAGAUUCGUGCUGAAUUAUAUCAGGGAAUUGUUGAUAGUGUAAAUGCCGGUGAAACUAGAGGUGACAAAAUUGGGAAGAGGAUUAUAUUACCUGCUUCUUUCAUCGGCGGUCCUCGAGACAUGCGGCAACGUUACCUAAACGCUAUGGCAUUGGUUCAUCGUUUUGGAAAGCCAGAUAUAUUUUUUACGAUAACAUGCAAUCCUGAAUGGCUAGAGAUUAAAACACUCCUAAAACCAUGGGAGAUGGCAUUCAAUAGACCAGAUAUAACAGCACGAGUUUUUCGUGCUAAAAUUGAGGAUCUUGAGAAGCAACUGUUUAAAGAGCAAAUAUUUGGUCGAGUUGCUGCACAUGUGCAUGUAAUUGAAUUUCAAAAAAGGGGCCUUCCUCAUGAACAUUUUCUUAUUAUUUUGCAACAAGAAAAUAAAAUUACUAAUUCAAUAAUGUAUGAUGACAUAGUAAGUGUAGAAAUUCCAGAUCCAGAUGAAGAUCCUAUACUUCAUAAGCUUGUAGUAAAACAGAUGAUGCAUGGACCUUGUGGAAAUUUGCGUACAGCAUCCCCUUGUAUGGUUGACAACAAAUGCAAGUUCCAUUAUCCAAAACAUUUUUCUGAAGAAUCUAGGCAGGGCAAUAACGCAUAUCCAAUAUAUCGAAGAACGAAUAAUAGAAGGCAAGUCAUGGUUCGAAAAAAUUUAUUAGACAAUAAAUGGGUUGUACCUUACAAUGCAUACUUGCUUAAGAGAUAUAAUUGCCAUAUUAAUGUCGAGAUUUGUUCUUGCAUUGCAGCUGUUAAAUACUUAUACAAAUAUAUAUACAAAGGUCAUGAUCGAGUUGCUCUUUACAUACACCCAGAUGAUCAGAAGCAAAAGGUUAAUGAGAUAAAAUAUUUUCAAUAUGCAAGAUGGAUCUCACCACCAGAAGCAAUGUGGAGAAUAUACGAGUUCAACUUAAAUGAAAUAUAUCCAUCUGUUGUCUCUCUACAACUCCAUCUUCCAAAUAAGCAACUGGUGACCUACUGGAAGAAUAGAAAUCUUGAACAUCUUCUUCACGAGGAACAUUCAACAAAAACUAUGUUGACUGAAUUCUUCAAAAUGAAUUCAACCAAUGCUAAAGCAACGAAGUAUCUUUAUAGAGAAUUUCCAGAACAUUUUGUUUGGAAUAAGGAUACACUAUCAUGGAGUUUAAGAAAAAAGAAACGCGCAAUAGGUAGAGUAAAUGCAGCAAAUCCAUUAGAAGGUGAAAGAUAUUAUCUGCGAAUGCUUUUAAAUCAUAUACGUGGCCCAACAUCAUUUGAUGAUCUUCUAACUAUUAAACAAGUUUAUUGUUCCACUUUUCGGGAAGCUGCUGAAAUGCAUGGCUUGUUGGAAGGCGAUAAUGCGAUUCUUUUUUGUCUAGAGGAAGCAAUAUUAUACCAGAUGCCACUUGCUUUGCGAAGAUUGUUUGCUACCAUUUUAGUUUAUUGUGAGCCCAAUAAUGUAAAAUCAUUAUGGCAGAAGUUUCUACAACCAAUGUCAGAAGAUUAUAUAACAUUUGGUAGACAUACUUCGGCAGAGACUGAAAUUCAAACCUUGAAAGAAAUUACUAAUUUUGUUCAAAGCAUGGGAAGAAAUAUAGCGGAGUUCGACUUACCAAAAUUAUCUAUGGAAAGUAGUAUUGGCAAUCUAAAUUCAAAGGAAAUGUUGGAUGAAUUGUCGAUCAUAACUCCAAUUAUAGAUUAUCAAGCUUGUGAAAUGUUGAAUUCUUGUCAAAAAUAUGCUUUUGAUACUAUAAUCGAAAGAAUCAAUACCCAGAAAAGUGGCAUCUUUUUUAUAGAUGGCCCAGGAGGAACUGGCAAAAUAUUUUUGUAUCGUGCGUUACUUGCAAAUGUUAGAAGAAAUGGCUCAAUUGCUCUUGCAACAGCUACAUGUGGUGUUGCGGCAGCUAUCCUUUCUGGUGGUCGGACAGUACAUUCAAGAUUCAAAAUACCACUUGAUAUCAACCAAUCAAGUAUGUGCAAUAUAAAAAAACAAAGUGGAUUGGCUCAAUUAAUACGUGCAGCAAAAUUAAUUAUAUGGGAUGAAGCACCAAUGUCAAAAAAAAUGACAGUCGAAGCAUUAGAUAGAACAUUGCAAGAUAUAUUGGAUUGCAAUUUACCAUUUGGAGGUAAAGUGAUGGUUUUUGGAGGAGAUUUUAGACAAGUACUUCCUGUUGUUCGAAAAGCUUCACGUACAAAAGUUAUUGACGCAUGCUUAGUGUGUCACAGCCCGCGACCACCCGCUUAUUUGGCCGAGGUCGCGGCGCCGACCGCGCCGAACAGACAGGGUUUCCCCUGUACUGCGGACAGAGUCUCCCCUGUACGUUCAAGGCAUCGCAAUCAAUACAAUAUACGAAGUUCCAAACAGGAACACAUUUCAAUCAAGAUUGCAUAAGGAAGGUAUCAAACAACAUAAACACAUCCUAUGUUAUUACAUUCAUUCACAUUCAUGCAUUUUACAUCUCAACCACCAUUCAUUUCAUCCAAAUGCAAUCUAAGUUAUUACAACAUUUACUUAUUACAAAUUUGAUACAUUAUGUUCUUUUCAUUUUCUUAACCCCUAAGCGACGUCGACGGGGUACUUCUAGCUCUGGUCUCCGGGGUAGGGCGCUAUCUACGGAGCUACGCCCUUUCCUCGCGCCGCCGCGCCGCUCACGUACGAACCUGUAACACCCCAAAACAACGUGGGGUGAGAACCAACUCCAUGGUUCCCAGUGAGUACGGCCACCCAAGGGAAAUGCUCGACCGACAGGUUCAAAGAAGGCAACUGCAUGUUAGUUUAAUAAACAGAUAGAUAGAUAUUUUGACUAUGCAAUUAAUAAAACCAUACCUUGCCUCGCAACUAUAACAAUGCUAUGCAAUAUGCAAUACCUGUAAAUCAUGCAAGUAGAUUACUUGAUUCUACUUUAUAUCAUUAACCAUUCUUUACUUGUAGCCGUUCUUUUCUUUAUUAGCUAUUCACGUUCAUUAGCUAUUCUUUAUUCUUUACUCUUUGUCUUAUUGUGCUCACUGGCGAUUCUUUCCUAAGGUUAUUUUACCUUAGCCAUCUAUGCCACUCGACUCGGUCUCGAGUCAAUCAACUGCGGAUAGUCCGCGCUCUGUCCGGCUCAAGGUGAAGGAUCUCUCACUUACACUCCAGCCUUCAGUCCACAAACAUCUCGCCAACUGGUCGCCCAGAGCUGCGUACACCCGUAGUCAGGGAUCUUUCCGAUGGGAAGGGGAUUAUGCCACAAACUCAACCCGCGGCCCAAGACCCCCGAUAAGGAAGGGGACAUGCCACACUCAACCCUAGCGAAGCACGAUUCUGCCGACGGGAGGGGGAACCUGCCACACUCGACCCGCGGCCUCGAAUCAGUCAACAGCUCAUCCUCGAAGUUCGUCCAGUGGGAGAGGAACCUGUCACACUCAACCCACUGCUCUAGAACUGUCGAGUUCACAAUCCUAAGAUUCCGGAAUCUAUUUUCCAAGCCUCUAGGGUAAUCUCAAACCCUAUGAUAUCGACCUAUCCAGGUCCAAUGCACUUUCUGUUCUAGGUCUAGCUGACUCUAGGUUUAAUGCCCCUAUCACAUAACCUAUGUUCUUUAAACGAGGUUAAUGUCUCUCUCUACCUAGAUUUUAUUAACUCUAGGUUCAACAACAUUAGCAUCAUUGUCAACCUAUGUUUACCAACACUAGGUUCGAUAUCAAUCUACCUAGAUCUUGAUUCUAGGUUCAUUCUGUUUAACCUAUGUUCACGACGCUAGGUUAAUGCCACUCGAUCUAGCCUAGGUUCACGACACUAGGUUUAACAUCAUUUUUAUUCAUCCUAGGUUCUUGACACUAGGUUCAUAUUUGACCUAUGUUAAUUACACUAGGUUAAUGCCACUCGAUCUAGUCGAUACCUAGAUUGUCCACAUUGAGUUUCCAUGACCAUCCACAUUUUCAAUAUGCAUAUUACACUUAGCCCUUUCUCUAGCACAUAUUUAGAAUGCCAAUAUGCAUCUUAACUAACAUGAUCUCAUAAUGAUAAAUGCACCUAGCAUAUCUUUCACUAUGCAUUAAUAUCAACGUGCAAUCAAGUAUCUCACUUAGCAUCUCUUUAUUAUGUCAUCAUCUAGCAUAUCGUUCCGAUGCAUUAAUAUACAAUUACCAACUAGCAUGCAUGUACAUAAUGCUAACAUGUAUAUGCAUUUAACAAUUUCUCAUAACUCAUAUGCUUAACAUUCAUUUAUAUACUCAUGUUCUCUAGCAUGCUCUUCUACAUGUCAACAUGAAUCAAUAAUGCUAACAUGUUCAUAUGUACAUAUAUUUAUGCAUUAAUAAGGAUCUAUAUUCCGCUUUGACAUGCGGGGCGACCAAGUCGUUUCGGUAAGCACAACCCACCUUAGCUAGCUUUCCGAUUGCUCGUAGUCACUUGCAAUCGGCCGCCCGCGGCACCCGGCACCCGGUUUGGCCCGAUCCCUCGCGCGACCACCCGAACGGCCUCCAAUCCACGAUCCGGAAAUUAAAGGUCUUCGGUGAUGUGCCACGGUGAUUCAAAUCUGUUUUCACGAUUUUACGACGUCGCCUCGGCCCUCCAGGCGGAAACGAAGCCUAAACAUCCGUUUCUUUAAUAACUUUGUAACGGCUCGUCGGAUUGCCGAACCGUCUUUGCCAACGCGUUCGUUUACCUAGCAAUUAGGUUUACAGAGGUUCAAUUGAGAUCAAACCCUCAUAUUUCCAAAAUUUGCAUUUUGGAGCCCUAGGUUGCAACUAGAUAAAAAUCCACCAAAUUCCUUCAUGAAUCAAGCAUCAUUCAUCUAGAUAGCAUGCUAGGAUUCCUCUAAAUUCAUUUAUAAGCUAUUUAAACCAACCAUUAAGGAUCUACCAUGAGAGGGCUCAAGAAGCUCACCUCAAAAUUAGCUCCAAAUCAUGGAGAAGAUGAAGAAGACAAUGGUGAUCCACUCCCAAGCUUCAACCUCCGCCAAUUCCUUUAAUUUUUGGAGAGAUUUAGAGAGAGAAAGAGAGGGUUUUCUCUUCUCCUUCCAUGCGUGUGUGGGUGUGUGUCGUGGGUGUGCACGGGUUGGGGCUGCACGGUUGAGGGAGAAGAAGCAUUUGCUUCUUUUACAACUUAACCCCUCAACUAUACACUAUUCACAUCCAGGGCAGUUUAGCAGUUCAGAACAGUUGGAGCUUUUCUGAAUGUCCGUUUGAGCUCAAAUUUGACAGGCAUACUUAGUUUAACGUACUGAGUAAGAAUAUAUCUUAAGUUUUCAGUUUCGACCUCAUUUGGUCACUGAAAACUGCACCGAACUGUAAUCUUUAUCAAAUAGCUGUCGGAUUUUAUUUCUCACUUUACCGGUGUCAGAAAAAUAUGAAACUUUAAAUCUAGCCUCAUAAAAAUAUUUCUGAAUUAUCCUCCAAUUUUCAUAAUUUUCUGAGACUGUGCAUUUUCUGCUAAUUUAUCUGUCCCAUUUCCAACAGAAAAUUCUAAAUCUCCUGUUUUUGCUCCAAUUUCAGCACAGGUCAUUCCUAACCUAUAUUUCACUUCUCUAAAUCCAAUAAAAACAGUAUCUCAUACUAUUUUUAUUUAUUUUUAUUUUUAUAUUUAAAAUCCGGUAUGUUACAUUCCACCGCAACCUCAACGGAACCAUUUAAAUGCUUUCUACCCACAUGUAAACCGUAACUUCAUAGUUUUAGAAGUUUGGUACCUUACAUAGUGAGAUCAUACUUAUGGUCUAUCAUGGAAAAAUUAUAUUUGCAAGAGAAUAUGCGAGCAAAAAAUUAUUUUGAUUAUUCCAACUUUUUAUUGCGUGUCAGCGACGGGACAGAACCUUAUAUAUUUGAUAAUGUCAUACAAAUUCCAAAUGAUAUGGUGAUUCCAUUCAGCAAUGUUGAAUGCUCAAAGCAAGAAUUAAUUGAAGCUAUAUUUUCACUACUUAUGGAAAAGAGCAAUUGUAUAAAUUAUAUAUAUGAUAGAGCAAUAUUGGCAACCAAAAAUGAAUAUGUCGAUGAUUUAAAUGAAAUAAUCAUCAAGAAAUUUUCAGGAGAAGAGUAUGUUUUCUAUAGCUUUGAUAUUGCCAUCGAUAAAAGUAAUUCAAUAUACCAAUCAGAAUUUUUGAAUGAUCUAACUCCAAAUGGUUUACUGCCUCACAAAUUGACUUUGAAAGAAAAUUGUCCAGUUAUGCUAUUGAGAAAUUUGGAUUCUUCAAAUGUAUUAUGUAAUGGGACAAGAUUGAUAUGCAAACACUUUAGUAAGAAUGUGAUACAUGCAAAGAUAGCAGUUGGACAACACACUGGUAAAGAUGUUCUACUUCCAAGAAUUCCUCUAUGUACGGCUGAAAAUGAAGGUUAUCCUUUUGCAUUUAAAAGGAAGCAAUUCCCCAUUAGAUUAGCUUUUGCUAUGACAAUCAAUAAGGCACAAGGACAAACAAUACCACAUGUAGGGAUAUUUCUUCCAGAGCCUAUUUUUUCACAUGGGCAGCUCUAUGUAGCUUUGUCUAGAGGAGUUUCUAGAUCAACAACUAAGUUAUUAAUCUAUCCGAUUGACGAUAACAUCCAGAAAUGUACAAAGAAUGUAGUAUAUACAGAGAUUUUUGAGGAAAUAUCUACUUAAAUAGCACAAAUAUAUGAGUUACAAGGUAUUAUUGUAUUAUCUACAUUUAUUGUUUUUAUAUGCGAUAUUUUUUUAAUAGCACUUUUCAUUGCUAAUCUUUUUCUUCUUUUUUUUUUGAUUAGGAGAAAAGAUCGAUCAAAUUCAGAAUUCAAGGUUUUACACAAUAAGCACAUUAAAUCAUAUAUCGAAAGAUUGGGUGCUGAAGUGUCAAGUGUUACAAAUUGGAAAUACUCAUUUCUACAAUAAUAAGAAUGGUUUCGGAUCAGUUAAAAAGAUUAUAUUAGUUGACGAAGAGGUUAGUUUGUAAUAUAUCAUUAUGUAGUUACUUGUUGCUUGCUAUUUUUAUAAUGUGAUAAUUAUUUUCCUAUAUGGUUAAUGAAAUAAUAUUGUAUUUUUCUAUAGGGUGCACGCAUACAAGCAAUCAUGUUCAAUGAGACGAUCAAAUUCUUUGAAGAAAUAUUAAAGAAAGAUCACAGUUACUUUCUUUCUAAUGCAAGUGUGAGAGAAGCAAUUGCAAAAUAUAAUAGUGGAAGUACAAGGAAUGAAAUUAUUUUGGACAAAACCAGUACAUUUGCUAUAAUAAAUUAUUUCAAGUUCAAGCAACCAAUCAAGUUCAACUAUGUGCUAUUGAAAUCCUUGGGCGAUUAUGUUGAUACUGAUAAUCUAAUAGGUAAAGAGUGAAAUUAUUUUUUAAUUUUCAUAAAUAUUUAUUUCUAACAUUAUCUUUAUUUUCAGAUAUUAUUGCCAUAGUAAUUACUAUCGGGGAACCAGUUGCUGUCACAAGAAAAUCAGAUGGAGAAGAAGUUGUGCGCCGUGAUGUGACAAUUAUUGAUCAUUCGUAUGUGAAAAAAAAAAAUCUUAAUAAAAGAUUUUACAUGAGAUUUUACAUAUUAUAUAUAAUUUUAUUUGUAUAUCUUAUACUUCUAUAUAAAUUUAUUAAUUGUAUCAUAAUUUUAAAUUUAGAUAGUCUUCCACUGUACAACUAACUCUUUGGGCAAAUUUGGCGACAAAUGAAGGAGAUAUUAUAAAGAAUGCACUCAGCGAGAGACCAAUCUUAAUUGCAACUUCUUUAAGAGCUCAAAAUUUCAAAGGUAUCGAAAUAUUUUCAUUUAUAGUUGUAACUAUAUAUAAACAAAGACUCUUGUCCGCAAAAAUUUAUAAAAAGUUAUAUUUCGCAGUAACUGACAUAUAAAAUAUUUAUGAAAUAUUCUAAAAUUAACUUUUCUUCGAUUUACAAUUGCAGAAAUUUUCUUAUCAACAACAACAAGCACAAUACUAGAAGUCAGCCCAACAACAAAAGAAGCUAUUGAUUUAAGAAAUUAGUAAGUGAUUGGUAAAACAGUUUAAUUUGCAAACUUACUCUAUACAUUUUUGAAACAUGUGAUGCAGGCUAAAAACCAGCAAUAAUGAAGUGGAUACAUUGACGAGUAAAUCAAGAGAAAUUAAUUUCUUGAGAUUCAAAUAUGAAAAAACAAGUAUUCAAGAAUUACUUGCAAAUCUCACUAUUGCAACAAAACAGGUAAAAAUUUUAAGAAUAUGUUCAUUAUUAUUUGCUAAAAUAUAUAUUAAGUAUGUAAAUAUGUACUAUAUAGGUAUGGCAAAUCGACAUAAAAAUAGUGGAGUUGAACAAGAAGCAAGAUCCGUGGUAUAUUGCUUGCAAAACUUGUGGAAGAAAAACUGUGGAUCUUGAUUGUAAAAUAAAAUGCGAGAUAUGUGUCAGCUCAGAAAUCUUCAUUGAUUAUAGAUAUUUUUUAAUAAUAUAUAUUUUUCAUAUUACAAUAUUAAUGCACUAUUUUAGAUAUUUUAAUAAUUUAAAUUCAAAGUUCUUAUAGGUUUAUGUUGCGAGUGAAAGUUGUCAAUUAUACGGGUUCAAUAUGGGUGUCACUUUUUAACAAGGAAGUUGAAAACUUAUUAAACUGUAAAGUUGAGGAACUUCGAGAAAUGAAGGUAAAAUACAUUUUCUAAGGUUAUCAAUUCACAUACUUAUUGCUAUAAGUAUGUUUACAUCUCUUUUUAUAAUUAUAUGUUGACAGGAUCACAACAUUCAUCAAUUUCUUCAAAAGUUAGAGGAUUGUUUGGGAAGACGAUACUUAUUAACUUUGAAAGUAGCAGAGAUCAAGAAAGUUGAUCUUGUGAACUAUAACUAUACAGGAAUUUCAAUUGAGAGUAUUGACAAUAUUGAGCAAAACAAAAAGAAUCAAUCUAUUCAAGAAAUUCCUCAAAACUUGGAAGACUCGCUUGAAGAAGAUAAAUAUGUUUCUGAUGUGGAUCUUAGCAAGUCGACGAAUUCUCUUCUUCGCAAACGAAAAGUGUUCAUUGAUAACGAAGAUGAAUAAUAUUUUAUAUGCUUAUUUUCAUAAUAGAAAAUUCUAUAAUUUGGUUAAACUCUUAUGCAUUUAAUUAUUAUAAAGUCACUUUAGUAUGCGAUGUUCAAUCCUUUUAGUUUAAUUUGGUAAUUAAAUUUACUUUAUUUAUGUAAAGUUUUGUGAUGAGCUUUUCGAUAUAUAUUUCUACAUUCCUAUCAAAUAGGAUUGAAUUUAUUUAGUCCUACUUCCCUUAUCUUUUUCAGGAUUCAAAUUUUGGAUUCCCGUUUCCAUCUUUAACUUUGGGUAAAGUGAAUUAGACCUUUUUUCUUACUUAUUGAUAUAGUUCUUUGGCACAGAAAAUAAACAAUGAGAUCGAUCUAUGUGCUGUUGGUAUUUUUAAUGUAAAUUUUAUAACUUAUAAAGUUAUAAUUCUUAUCAAGUUUCUUAACACGUGCAACGCAUGUUCUUAAACUAGUUAUGUUUCAAAAGAAGUGGGUUUCAUCCCUUUGUUGAAAUUAUGUUUCAAACAAAAGAAAUGAGCUCCAUCACCCCUGUUUUUACCUAUAUACUUAAGCAUUUCCGACAUCUUUCCAUCGUAUACGAAUAAAAAAAAUUUAAAAAUUUAGAAAAUAGGACGGAAAGCCGAGAUGCUAAGAUGCAAUAUGAUGAUAUAAACUUAUGCUCCUACUACUUCAAACCUGUAAAAAUACAGUAUUUUAUCUAAACAGUCAAAUAUAGAGUAAAAUAUUUCAGAGUAUUUAGAAUUUUAUACCAGCCUAAUACAACAUAAUAUAAAACUCUGUUUUUAAUUCCGGUAGUUGCCAAACAGGCCCUAAGCUGUAAAAAGUAAUAAAAACAGCAAAAGGCCGAUUUCAAUGGGAAUGUGGGCCGUGAGUGGGCUUGUCCAGUGCAAGAAUGCCUGGUAGUCAGGUAAGCGGGCGUCGGUUCGCCCUUCUUCGCACCCCGGCGGUUCUUGGGUCCGCCUUUUUCCCCCGAUCCGAGAUUCGGGCCGGCCGAUCCACUUGUAAACGGGCAAGAGGGCGUCGGUUCGCCCUUCUCCGCACUAUCCACCGCCCGGCGGGUCUUGAGUCCGCCUUUUCCCCCCGUUCCGAGGUUCGCAGCUUCGACCCGCCGGUUCUCUUCUUCGCCCCAAAUACCAAGGUUCUGUCGAUCCUCCCAUCGCCCUCUCCGAGCUCUGAGGAUGCCCUAGCACCGUCGCGCCGCCAGUGCUCCGCCCGGAUCUCCUCUCGCCAGGCUUCUCCGUCAAGCUCCCCCUUCCUCAACUUGCUGCCGCCGCCUAUCUCUCCUUUAUUUUUGUAAAGUUGCCAUUUUACUGCCUGCCCUGUUAAUUACUACUACUUAUUCCCCCCAGGUUGUUACAUCUCAUACUGGAAAUUUGAGAAAAAAAAAGGGUUAAAUUGCGGGGUUUUGUGGGGUGGAUUUGGUGAGGGAGCUCUACGAACAAAAACCCUAAAAAUCCCCGUUUCCUGGAUUUGAACGCUCGCAUAUAGCUUCUUCUUAGAUUUUUGUUCUUUUUUUUUCCCCCUCAAUUUGUAGCGGAGUAUAACGUUGAUGGCGGAAUCGUUGGUUGCGGCGGAGGACGAAGCCACAGCACCACUUCCGCCUCCUCCGCCCACGGCGGCGGUGGCGGCGGAAUCCGGGAAUCCGGAGACGGAGGUCGACGGUUUCCGGCGCCGCAUCGAUGACCUCAUCUCCCAGGCCGAUGAGGUUCUGUGAUUUCUCCUUGCUCCGCUCUUAUGUUACUUCUUUACGUUGCGAUCUACAAUUUUAACCUAAACUUGCAAUGUUUUAUAUGUACCAUAACUCUAGCUAGGGUUUUAAUCAAGAAACGAGCAAAAAGAUUUUUUUUUUUUUGCUGUAUUUAUGGAUUCAAGUGGUUGUGCAGCUGGAGAAAAAGGUGAGUGAGGUUGUGGAGUUCCACGCAAACAAGAAACAAACGAAUAAUUUAAAGGGUAACUCCGUAGUUAGGGAUAAGGAGAAGGAGAGGCCGAUCGGGAAUGGGAGUAGCAAUAAUUGUGUUAAUAAUAGUGGAAGCAACAGUAAUAGUAAAACCCAGGGGGAUGCGGGUCGAAAGGAAGCUGUUUGCUCGAAGAGAAUGCAGGAGCUCAUGCGGCAAUUCGGCACGAUUUUACGCCAGGUGAGUCGGGAAUUUCCUCCUCUCUUAAGUGUUUUCUUCGGUGUAGAUGUUCUUAUGCUUUCUGAUUAUAAUGUAUUAGAAUUUUGGUUGGUGCUAGUGUAAGGCACUAAAUUUUAUGUAAGUUACUUCUAUAAAUUGCAAAUUAUGGUCAGAUGUUUUAUUUUCGUUUGAUAUUUUCUAUAGUUGAUUUCAACUGUAUUGACAGUUUUACCCGCAUAUUGUUUCUCUUCACGUCUAGCAGUAUUGUUGCACUAUAAAAUAUGAGGAAAGGCUAACUACUUUCAUUAUUAAGAAAUUUUUCUUAUUUUAGAUUUUUAAUGUCUAUAGUGUAGUCAACGAUUUGGCAUUUUCACUGUAUGAAAUGUAUGUUGGAUUAUUGAUGACAUGGCUUAUUAUGUUGUAUCUGAACAUUUUGUAACUUUGGUGAAUGUGAAUUCAUUGGAGGCAAAAUGAUACAGAAUAUGACUUUGUGUUUCAUGCUGUACUUUUGUAAUGACACUAGAAUAAGUAUCGUAGUAGUCCACUGAGUUCUAGAAUUCAGGGAAGAACUUCAACCAGGAAAGUUAUGGAUGUUAAGAAUACUUAAUGAAAUAUUUGAUAAUAUUGAACUGACAACAGGAGGUAAACAAAUUCUGGAUAUAGACGAAGGAGUUAAGUUCAUUAAAAAAGAGACAGCCUCCAUACCUACAAAAAGAGAAAGGCCUUAGAGAACCAAGGGCCCAUAAAAUCAUCUGAGUAUUAUAAUGCUAUCUGAACAAGAUAUUUUGAGGCAUAGAGAAUGGCUAUUGUUGUGUAAAAUGGUUAAUAUGACACCUCUUGUAGCAAUUUCUUUUUUUCUUUUUGCAUUUACUUUUGAUUUAAUUAUCAUUUGGAAAUAUCCAUCUUUCCAGAUCACUAAUCACAAGUGGGCUUGGCCAUUCAUGGACCCUGUAGAUGUUAAAGGCCUUAAACUUCAUGAUUAUUAUGAGGUAAUGUUUUAAUUCUUGUUAAUAUCCAUUUCUCGCUUCAACUAUAAAAUAAUCUCUCUUUGGGAAUUAUCUCUGAGAACUAUAAAACUACAGAAUUUUGUAUACAUAUGAUUACUAUUAUCCCAUAAGUGUAAUUUGCAAUUUAAUGUGCAUCUCUGUUGUUUGACUUAUAUUUAAUCCGCUAUAUCUUAUUUGGAGUUUGGUUGCCUGUCUUUGCUGAACUGCUAUGAUAUCAGCAUAUAAUUCUAGCAUGUUUCUUGAUUUGAUUUAUUUAGUUUUGGUGUAUCUCAGAUUAUUAAGAAGCCCAUGGACUUCCAUACUAUUCAAAAUCGGAUGGAAACAAAGGAUGACUAUAGAUAUAAGAAUGUCCGAGAAAUAUGUGCAGAUGUCAGACUAAUUUUCACAAAUGCAAUGACGUACAAUGAUGAGAAAAAUGAUAUUCACCAAAUGGCAAAAACAUUGCUGGAGAAAUUUGAAGAGAAGUGGUUGCAAUUGCUGCCUAAAGUUGUUGAGGAGGUAAAAGGUUUCUAAAUUGUUGUUUUGUUUAAUUUUCUUCUAGAAAUUUGAGUUAUAUAGGUUUUUUCUGAUCUUCUUAUAGAGGAGCCUGCUUGUCACUGCAAGUUUAAAUUUUCUCGAGGACUUAGGUUACCUGCUGGUCUACUUGCUUCACAAUCGGUGCUCUAUGUGGUCAGGAAACAAGACAAAAGGAGGAGGAAGCACAAGUAAUUGUUAAUAUGCAGAGCGUUCAAGAGGCUAAUAUUGCGAGAUUAGCAAGAGAUACACAUACUGAGGUAGACAUUUUUGGAAGUGGGUUUAAGAGGUUGCAUCAUUAAAAGAGUUAUCUUUUACUUCUAAUACAAGGAUAGAUGAAUAUAUGAUCCAAAAUAAUCGAUAGGUCACAUCAUCAAUAAAUGUAAAGCAUCGGAUUAGUAAGUUAUGUAAAAUUAGUUGUGAAUUCUUUUAUCUGUACAUCUAUCAAUUUACCAACUUGAGAAUCUCCAAAUUAUCCUUUUCAAACAAACAAUCACUGAUAAAAAAUAAAGCUGAAGCAGUUACAAUUUUUGUAUUACUUAAGGGUCAAAAAGACCAUAGCUAUGAGAGGCCCAAUCACUUAAGCAGGUGUCCGAUGGUCUGACAGUUAGCUAGUCACCUAGACACGCAUUUUGGGAUCGUGGAAUUAUUGAGAAGGUACCCAAUAAUAUAGGCCUGGUAGGUCAGUUUUUUUUUCUAGGCAUAGGUGGCUACCAAUAACAGUCGAUGGUGCUUUAAACCUUUGCAUCAGACAAAAACCAUGUAUAUGUAGUGGCUUCAACCUCUUGCUUUCUUCUUAGAGUGUCCAAAUAAUAUCUCAGCAGUUUCCAUUUAUUUCUUUAUUAUUUCUCUUUUUCUAAUUUGCUGUGUUUCAGCUCAAUGAACUAAAUUCGCUUUUGGAGGAUCUUCGAAAAUCAGUAGUCCAGAAAUGCAGGUAUUUUCCAUAUCUUGGCUCUUCACAUAUGUGCCGAGUUUUAUGAAAUAGCGUUUAUAUGGAUUCUAGGAGCAUUGUUUAGUUGAUUUGGACUGGACUAGUAUCAGUGAUUAAGAAUAAUAUUACAUGUUGAGAAGCUAGUGUCACAUUUGGUACUUUUUUGCUGCUACGCAAUAGCAGAUGCCAUUACUAAAUUAAAUUUGUGCUGGGCUUUUUGUUUUGGCUUUAUUUAAAUGCACCUGUUCUCAUAAUAUUUCAUCCAUGCAAAUUUCUUUGUUACGGGUGUUCGAAUUUAGAGGGCAUUUGAUUUUCCUUCUACCUGCCCCUUUUUUUCAUUAAAUUGAACUGUUGAAACUCUAGAUGGACAUCUAAUGUGCCAAAUAAUGACUAGUUGCCUUGUCAUAUUUUCUUUCUUGUUCUUAAUGAUCUUGCCUUAUUGCAUCUCUUUUUAACAUCAGAAUGACGUACAAUAUGGACACACUAACUUUUGGAGAACAUUGCAAGGAAAAUGUCCACAGAGGAGAAAAGAAAACUGGGUGUGGGUUUAAGCAAUUUAUCUCCUGAAGAUCUUAACAAGGCACUAGAGAUUAUUGCUCAAGACAAUCCAAACUUCCAAUCUACGGCAGAAGAGGUGGACCUUGAUAUGGAUGCUCAGGUCAUUUCUCUACAUAUUACAAUUAUGACUUUUAGCACAUAAGCAUACAUAUUUGUGUGUAUUUUAAACAGAUAAAAUGAUGGGCUUAUGAUAUUACUCGGUAUAUAUAUUUUUUGGUUAACAAAACGGAGCUUCUUUUCACAUUCUUGUCGUAUACUUUUUAGCAUUUUGGUGCAUUUCUGAACUUAUCAUAAUGUGGAAUAAAUUUUUUGUGAAUAAUUAAAUUCUUUUCGAUAUUUCGUCUCAUUUUCAUAUGCACAGUGUAAUUGCUGAUUGAUCGCUUUUAUUCUGUGUUGUUGUUCUAGAGCGAGAGCACAUUGUGGAGACUCAAAUUCUUUGUGAAAGAAGCAUUGGAACAGCAAGCAAAAAAUAGUGCAACCAAGGCUGACGAGAACUCAAAGCGCAAGAAAGAGAUAUGUGAUGCUCUCGCCAAGACGGCCAAAAAACGGAACAAAAAGCUCUCUUCUUGAUGUACCUUUCUUGCUCAUCAAUCCAUACUCCUUUUCUUGUUAUCGUCUUUGUUUAAAUUAUGUGUAAAGCCCUCCCUGAAGGACCGCCGUGCCAGAGUUGUAGAAAGCAUGUGAUUUUGAGCUCAAUAAAUCAUAAUUAGAAGGAAAAAAUAACUCCACAUCAACGAUUUAAGUGCCGUGGCACGGGGUCGUGCCGGAAACUUGCCGGUACGGUACGGCACGGUGCGUGCCGAGCCGUGUCGAUGCGUGCCGGUAAAAAAAAUUCUUAUGUGCCGACACAUAAUAGCAUGAAGUAUUUAUUUUCUUUAGCAACAACAUAUUCUAACUGUUUAUUAUGUCUUUUUAUCACAUCUUUUGAACUUUAUUGAGAAAAUUACGUACUAAUUUAAAGAAUAGAGGGUUUUGAGCUGUGCCAUCGGUACGGUGUCUGUAUCGUGCUAGUAUCUUGUUGGCACGGUACGACACGGUUGAUACGGCCCGUGCCGACGGGCACUUAAAACCUUGCUCCACAUUGUUGGUUUGGGACUUGCUUUUUUGAAAUGGUUAUGAGAGACAUGUUUGCCAUGUUUGGUCUAUGUAGAACCAUAGUUAGUUAAUUCGGAUUCGGCAAAAAUUCGGUACGGGUAUAAUUCGGAUAAAAUUCGUUUUUUAAUUUUUAAAUUCGUUGAAAAAUACGGCUAUAAAACGGAUUCGUCAAUUAUUCGGAUACGUGAUUUAUACGGAUAUUAUACGUUCACCAAUUAAAAAUUCGGAAUCAAAAAUUCGGCUAUUAAAUUAAAUUUUUUUUCUCUCAAAAUUUAUGUUAUUUGUAUAAAUACUCAUACUUCUUAAGAUUAUAAGAAUAAAGUGCUACAAAAUUAAGUUAAUUAAGUACAAAAAAUAGCAAACUAUAUUAUGCCUUAAAAUUAAUAAAUAAGCAAGCAAAUAAGAGAUUAAGAUAGUCCAUACAGAUUAAAUUUUUUUGAUCGACUAAUAUUUUUUUUUAGAGAAGAGCGCGAACGUAUUGGAAAAGAUUUUUUUUUUAUUUUUGGGCGAGGUUGGGGUUUGGGAAAGGAUUUUUUUUUUUUUUUUUUUUGGGCGAG